AGCGAACGCUGGCGGCAGGCUUAACACAUGCAAGUCGAGCGCCCCGCAAGGGGAGCGGCAGACGGGUGAGUAACACGUGGGAACGUACCCUUCAGUUCGGAACAACCCAGGGAAACUUGGGCUAAUACCGGAUACGUCCGUAAGGAGAAAGAUUUAUCGCUGAAGGAUCGGCCCGCGUCUGAUUAGCUAGUUGGUGAGGUAAUGGCUCACCAAGGCUACGAUCAGUAGCUGGUCUGAGAGGAUGAUCAGCCACAUUGGGACUGAGACACGGCCCAAACUCCUACGGGAGGCAGCAGUGGGGAAUAUUGGACAAUGGGGGCAACCCUGAUCCAGCCAUGCCGCGUGAGUGAUGAAGGCCCUAGGGUUGUAAAGCUCUUUUAGCAGGGAAGAUAAUGACGGUACCUGCAGAAAAAGCCCCGGCUAACUUCGUGCCAGCAGCCGCGGUAACAC
rnacentral:rRNA from 1 species